rnacentral:rRNA from 1 species
UGGGGAAUUUUGGACAAUGGGCGAAAGCCUGAUCCAGCAAUGCCGCGUGUGNGAAGAAGGCCUUCGGGUUGUAAAGCACUUUUGUCCGGAAAGAAAUCCUUGGCUCUAAUACAGUCGGGGGAUGACGGUACCGGAAGAAUAAGCACCGGCUAACUACGUGCCAGCAGCCGCGGUAAUACGUAGGGUGCAAGCGUUAAUCGGAAUUACUGGGCGUAAAGCGUGCGCAGGCGGUUUGCUAAGACCGAUGUGAAAUCCCCGGGCUCAACCUGGGAACUGCAUUGGUGACUGGCAGGCUAGAGUAUGGCAGAGGGGGGUAGAAUUCCACGUGUAGCAGUGAAAUGCGUAGAGAUGUGGAGGAAUACCGAUGGCGAAGGCAGCCCCCUGGGCCAAUACUGACGCUCAUGCACGAAAGCGUGGGGAGCAAAACAGGAUUAGAUACCCUGGUAGUCCACGCCCUAAAACGAUGUCAACUAGUUGUUGGGGAUUCAUUUCCUUAGUAACGUAGCUAACGCGUGAAGUUGACCGCCUGGGGAGUACGGUCGCAAGAUUAAAACUUAAAUGAAUUGACGGGGU